GGGUAGGUAGCUCAGGUGGUAGAGCAGCGGACUGAAAAUCCGCGUGUCGCCGGUUCAACUCCGGCCCUGCCCA
rnacentral:tRNA from 1 species